GAGCACGUAGGUGGGUUUGUAAGUCAGAUGUGAAAGCCUUCUGUUCAGCGGAAGAAUUGCAUCUGAAACUGCGAGUCUUGAGUGUAGGAGGGGAGAAUGGAACUUCUGGUGGAGCGGUGAAAUGCGUAGAUAUCAGAAGGAACUCCGGCGGCGAAAGCGAUUCUCUGGCCUAUUACUGACACUCAGUGUGCGAAAGCUAGGGGAGCAAACGGGAUUAGAUACCCCGGUAGUCCUAGCCGUAAACGAUGGGCACUAAGUAGAGGGGUUUU
rnacentral:rRNA from 1 species